rnacentral:rRNA from 1 species
AACGAACGCUGGCGGCAGGCCUAACACAUGCAAGUCGAGCGAGGACUUCGGUCCUAGCGGCGGACGGGUGAGUAACGCGUGGGAACGUGCCCUUUGCUUCGGAAUAGCCCUGGGAAACUGGGAGUAAUACCGGAUGAGCCCUUUGGGGGAAAGAUUUAUCGGCGAAGGAUCGGCCCGCGUUGGAUUAGGUUGUUGGUGGGGUAAUGGCCUACCAAGCCGACGAUCCAUAGCUGGUUUGAGAGGAUGAUCAGCCACACUGGGACUGAGACACGGCCCAGACUCCUACGGGAGGCAGCAGUGGGGAAUCUUAGACAAUGGGGGAAACCCUGAACUAGCCAUGACGCGUGAGCGAUGAAGGCCUUAGGGUUGUAAAGCUCUAUCAGCUGGGAAGAUAAUGACGGUACCAGCAGAAGAAGCCCCGGCUAACUCCGUG